UACGGAGGGUGCAAGCGUUAUCCGGAUUCACUGGGUUUAAAGGGAGCGUAGGUGGCUUUGUAAGUCAGUGGUGAAAUAUUGCGGCUUAACCGCAAAACUGCCAUUGAUACUGCUUAGCUUGAAUCACGUCGAGGUGGAUUGGAAUAAUACAUGUAGCGGUGAAAGUGCUUAGAUAUGUAUUAGAACACCGAUUGCGAAGGCAGUUCACUAGGCGUGUAUUGACACUUGAGGCUCGAAAAGCGUGGGGAUCAAACAGG
rnacentral:rRNA from 1 species